AAAUCUUUCGCAGCUUUCUGGAUUUCCAUUUUUUACCAUCUUACUGCAAAGUUGGGGCUCAGAAUGCUCGCAAGAGGUCGUGCUGACCAGGCAGCUGCGAUUGAGAAAAGGGGGUGGUGGAGGACUCCGUGGUCAGGAUAGGAGGGGAGCUGGCUUGUUGGGGAGGAAGGAUUGCACAGGGGAGGCAAAGACUUUCACUCCGUGCCAUGCAUGCUCCCCGCCCCCCAAUCUAUUCCCCCCUCCCCCGACUAAAGCAGACAAUACAAGCGCCUCGGAGCGAGUCCCCGAACCUGCCCUAGCCAAAAUGGCGGCCGAGAAAGAGCGGAAGUGACGGUACUAUAUUUGUUUUCUUGUCAACUGGUUUCCAAGCAGCUUUGGGAGGCACAGGAAGAAGGAAGAUCUCAAGGAGAAGGGGAAAAGUCCAAGUGUCCUCCCCUUUACUCUGCCUCCCAGCAUGGACCAGAUUCCAUCCAUGGCUCCCACUUCUGCCAAGCAUCCCUGACUCCACCAUUCUAGCUCCUCUGGGCAGCCCGGGUUCCCCGCUCUAAAAACACCAUCUCCUCCAUUGUUGCUCCAGCCCAGGAGCGGUAGUGAGCUCCAGCUGCUACUAAUCUCUGAGUAGCCCCACUGUUCCAUUUGGCUUCUCAGCAAUUCCUUCACCUGUGUAACCAGAUUCUCUGUAUUAAAUUCCCUAUAUUGAAAGAAUUACAGUGGUUUCUGUUUUCCUAAGUGGGCUUUGCCUCAUACAGGCAAUUCAAGUUAAACCAUCUGAAUAUCAUUAAGAUCAUUAAAAACCAUCACAGGAGGUGACUGUAUUUUGGCCCUGUUCCAAACUGGGGAAAUACACACUGGAUAAUCUUACCAAGGCAAGGAGCAGGCAUGAGGGGUGAGAGGUUCUACUUACCUAGUCCCAACUUUUGCUCCCGUGGUCUUAGAAGCUGUAAGAAUAAGAAAUGGCAUUUUAACACAAAUAAUAGAAAAUCUGACUAAUAAAAACUCUUUUUUAAUAAGUGCUCACUCAUUUUAACAGAAAUACAGCUGCAUUUAUU